AUUGAACGCUGGCGGCAGGCCUAACACAUGCAAGUCGAGCGGCAGCGGAAAGUAGCUUGCUACUUUGCCGGCGAGCGGCGGACGGGUGAGUAAUGUCUGGGAAACUGCCUGAUGGAGGGGGAUAACUACUGGAAACGGUAGCUAAUACCGCAUAACGUCGCAAGACCAAAGAGGGGGACCUUCGGGCCUCUUGCCAUCAGAUGUGCCCAGAUGGGAUUAGCUAGUAGGUGGGGGUAACGGCUCACCUAGGCGACGAUCCCUAGCUGGUCUGAGAGGAUGACCAGCCACACUGGAACUGAGACACGGUCCAGACUCCUACGGGAGGCAGCAGUGGGGAAUAUUGCACAAUGGGCGCAAGCCUGAUGCAGCCAUGCCGCGUGUAUGAAGAAGGCCUUCGGGUUGUAAAGUACUUUCAGCGGGGAGGAAGGUGUUGAGGUUAAUAACCUCAGCAAUUGACGUUACCCGCAGAAGAAGCACCGGCUAACUCCGUGCCAGCAGCCGCCGUAA
rnacentral:rRNA from 1 species